GAUGAACGCUGGCGGCGUGCCUAAUACAUGCAAGUCGAGCGAACAGACGAGGAGCUUGCUCCUCUGACGUUAGCGGCGGACGGGUGAGUAACACGUGGAUAACCUACCUAUAAGACUGGGAUAACUUCGGGAAACCGGAGCUAAUACCGGAUAAUAUAUUGAACCGCAUGGUUCAAUAGUGAAAGACGGUUUUGCUGUCACUUAUAGAUGGAUCCGCGCCGCAUUAGCUAGUUGGUAAGGUAACGGCUUACCAAGGCAACGAUGCGUAGCCGACCUGAGAGGGUGAUCGGCCACACUGGAACUGAGACACGGUCCAGACUCCUACGGGAGGCAGCAGUAGGGAAUCUUCCGCAAUGGGCGAGAGCCUGACAGAGCAACGCCGCGUGAGUGAUGAAGGUCUUCUGAUCGUAAAGCUCUGUUAUUAGGGAAGAACAAAUGUGUAAGUAACUAUGCACGUCUUGACGGUACCUAAUCAGAAAGCCACGGCUAACUACGUG
rnacentral:rRNA from 1 species